rfam:Myotis brandtii contig186205, whole genome shotgun sequence.
GGUGGUUCUUGGGCAACGCACCCCGGAAUUGGGCUCCCUCCUCUCUGGUUCCAGGUGUAUCACCCAAGAACCGCA